AGCAGCCGCGGUAAUUCCAGCUCCAAUAGCGUAUAUUAAAGUUGUUGCAGUUAAAAAGCUCGUAGUUGAACUUCGGGAUCAAGGAAUCGGUCAUGCCUUGGUAUGUACUGGUUUUAUUGGUUCUCACCUUCUAAAGAACCAUAAUGUCAUUCAUUUGAUGUUAUGGGGAAUUAGGACUGUUACCUUGAAAAAAU
rnacentral:rRNA from 1 species